rnacentral:rRNA from 1 species
GCCUGUUUAUCAAAAACAUGGCUCUUUGUAAAAAAUAAAUAAAGAGUCGGACCUGCCCGGUGAUAAAGUUUUUAACGGCCGCGGUACCCUGACCGUGCAAAGGUAGCAUAAUCAUUUGCCUUGUAAUUUGAGGCUAGUAUGAAAGGUUUGACAAGAGUGUAACUGUCUCCUUUUAGCUUAAUAGAAUUUUACUUGUAAGUGAAGAGGCUUACAUAAUAUUAAUAGACAAGAAGACCCUAUCGAGCUUGAAAAGAAUAAUAGAUUAUAAAUAAUAAUGAAUGACAAAAACAAUACCUAUUAAAAAUUUUGGUUGGGGCGACUAAGGAACAAAAAGAGCUUCCUAUAAAAAAUUAAACAUACCCGUAUUGAUCCAGAAGAUUCUGAUCAAAGGAAUUAGUUACCGUAGGGAUAACAGCAUUAUCUUUUUUGAGAGCUCUUAUCGAAAAAAAGGUUUGUGACCUCGAUGUUGGACCAGAAUAUCCUGAAGGUGCAGCAGCCUUCAAGGGUUGGUCUGUUCGACCAUUAAAAUUCUACGUGAUCUGAGUUCA